rnacentral:rRNA from 1 species
CCUACGGGAGGCAGCAGUGGGGAAUAUUGGGCAAUGGGCGCAAGCCUGACCCAGCAAUGCCGCGUGUAGGAAGAAGGCCUUCGGGUUGUAAACUACUUUUAUCAAGGACGAAAGAAAUGACGGUACUAGAUGAAUAAGCUAAGGCUAACUACGUGCCAGCAACCGCGGUAAUACGUAGGUGGCACGCGUUAUCCGGAUUUACUGGGUGUAAAGGGCGUGUAGGCGGGACGUCAAGUCAGAUGUGAAAACCAUGGGCUCAACCCAGGGCCUGCAUUUGAAACUGGAGUGCUUGAGUGUUGAAGAGGCGGGCAGAAUUCCAGGUGUAGCGGUGAAAUGCGUAGAGAUACGGAGGAACACCAGUGGCGAAGGCGGCCUGCUGGACAAAGACUGACGCUGAGGCGCGAAAGCGUGGGGAGCAAACAGGAUUAGAUACCCCGGUAGUC